UUCCUACACCGGGAAUCGAGCCCGGGCCUUCUGGGUGAAAGCCAGGUAUCCUAACUACUAGACCAUGUGGGA